rnacentral:antisense_RNA from 1 species
CAGUCAACGGGAAAAAGUCACCCGGUCUUGGUUUACGCGAACCAACAGCUGCUGUUAAAACAACGGUAUCGCCGUAGCGAAUAAGCGCUGCACCGUUUGCUUGUUUUGCCAUUUGACCAACUUCGAUUGCUAGUUCUUUGCCUGCCCAUGUGGAUUUAAAUACUUGUUUUUCAGUCAUAUUUCGAUCUCCUUUUAGUUAGGAGCGUCCACUACCAAAUAGAAACUUUACCAUGCAUAACUCUUCACGCACGCCUGAAUUGAUAUUCCGACACGCAUGAAUCCA